CAGAAAUGAGAACUGAAUGGGAGUUAUAAUUGCAUCUACUGUGAAUCAAAAUCCCUUAAGUUAUAAAUUUGUAAGAAUGAUUCUCUAGCAUAAAAUGGAUUUGGAGUCAGAAAACAUAAGUACUCUCUGAGUUCUACUAUCUAUUUGUUCCAUAAUCAUUGGCCAAUUUUUCAACUUUUAUUAGCCCUUUUCAAGAAGAUAAUGAAAUUUACUUCAUACAAUUAUAGUGAGGAAUAAAUGAGUCAUAUAUAUUUAAUAAAACACUUAUCUUGUUCCUUGCAGAUACUCACUGAAAGCUAGGAGAAUCUGAGAUGAAAGUGCAGCUUCAGAGUUAAAAAGGCAAACUAGAAGUCUUUGAAGAGAAGUAGGAAUAAGCCAGAAAAAUGUUAGGAGAAAUAACUUCCACAGUACAACUAACUCCGUCACCGAAUGGGCUGCACUUGGAGCUCGUGAGGCCUUCAGUGGAAAGAUGUUUGAGAGUCGCAUGACAACCGUGUUGAGAUUGCAUUAGACUGGAGAAUCAUCAAAGACAUCUCCAAUCCCAAGAGUCAGUGGUCUGUGCAAAUGUUAGUCUGACCACUUGGCAGAUAAACAUUUAUUCUACCAGAAAGCCCUAGACCAGAAUGUUUAAACGUUGGGACUCUAGAAUUGAGACUGUCUGCACUCACAUACUGACACAGUCUCUUCAUGAUUAUAUGAAUUUGGGAUAAUUAUAUGACCUCUCUGAAGUUCAGCUUUCUUAUCUGAUACAUGGUACUAAGAAUGUCUAUUGGAGUGAAGAUGAAAUGAAAUAGUACAUGUUAUGGCCUUAGCAGAGUGGCUAUCGCAUAGUAGCAGAUCUCCGUAAUUACCACUGUUUUAUCAUUUUUAAUCUGUCAACUUGGUGGCACUGAUAGACCAAGGCUAACUCUAUCUAAAUCACUAUGUAAGGAAACUUGCAAAGGCUAAGUGUAGAAAUAAAUGUGACUGAAAAAUGAGGCAGGGUAAGGAAGUAAGUAGUUUAUAAAAAUAAAUGCAUAAAAUGUCAUUCAUAUUAAACAAAAUAUAGUGAUCCAGAGACAGCCAGCCUUUAUGAUGCAGCUUUAGUAGAAGCAUACCCAGUGUGUACCAAAUCCAUACUUUGCCUAAAUUUACAAAUAUUUACAUUGCUGAUCUCUUAAAAUUACUAGCAUUCUGGUGUAUGACUGAAUCUACAGAUUGUCUCAUGAAUGCGUAAUCAUUACUGCUGGUUAUUGCAGUUCUGUUCCGCUAAAUAUAGUUUGUAGCUUCUUUUCUUCCUUAACCUCAUCUAAAGUAUAGAAACUUGAGCCACUUAUUCUAAUGGCUUAAAAUUUAUCCUAGUCUAAGUUAAGGAACCCAUAAAAAUAACUAUAGUAUAUUGACUGACAACUGUUGUUUUAAAAUAGAAAUUCAAGUAUUAAAAUUAGAUUGAAUUUGCCAUUCACCAAUUAGAUAAUGCCAUAGGGUUGAAUAAUCCGUUAGCCAAUUUAUAAAGCCAGCUGUCCAAGUUCCACUAACUUGGAACUUGGUGCCAGUGCACUGUGAAUUUCACAUUCAUCAGAGAAUAUAUUAUUCCUCUUAAUUUUAAAAUUUGAGCAAUUACCAAAAGCUUUACAGCAAAACUCUUAAUACAUGUUAACUUAAACAUUUAAUUUCAGAAGUAAUAAAAAUGAAAAAUUAAGUGGUAUGAGUAAAAUAGAGAGUAUUUUCCCUACUAGUAACUGAGGGAGAAAUCUGUGAAAAAGAUAAGUCACAAGCUUCUGUUCUGAGUCCAACAGUUCUAUAAGUGAGAGUAGUAUUCUGAAAAAAAGUAUCUUGAAUGUAAAAAUCUUAAACUUGAGAAGUCUGAGAGUUAAAAAUUAAACAAGCAAUUGGUUGUCUUCCUCAUCUCAACUGUGCAUGAAGGAAAGGACAAUCAGUAAACAAUGAAGCCCUGUACCAAAUAUGGCGUUAAUGACCACAGGCAAUACCUAGCAUCACGCUGGGAAGCAAAUUGGUAGUCAUUGGAGACUGCUGAGUCUUGGUGAGAUAUUCCCUGAGGCUAAAACCAAUCAGCAGUCAGGCUACUCUAUACCCCACGAAGCCGAAGAGUGGUUUCCAGGGGUAACCUCUUUGAGAGCACAUUUGAAUAAUCUAAUUUGGAAUUUUAAAAGUGGGGGGAAUGGUGGGAGAAUCACAUGCUAACUGGCACCACUCCUUAAACUGCAAUAGAAGGGCUCUCACAUCUGAAACAGUUUAUGAGGCAUGUUUUAAACAAAACCAGUGUUGCAUAAACUGUUUGAUAUUGUACAAAUACAAAAUUCAUUUCCACUGCUCUUUUCUCUUCUCUAAAGAUGAGUCUACCUCUUCCCUGCGUACUUGAAAGGCCACCCUUUGUUUCUGGAAAUAAUGAAGCGGAUGGCUAUCAUUAUCCUUAGUAGCAUUAAAGAGAUUUCAGAAAUUAAAGAACUAAAAAUUUACAAACUCUCAUGUGUUCAUUGUGUUAGGAGUUGGCUGUUUCUAUUUGUAUAAGGAAUAUUUAUGAAACAUUUAUAAAAUAUAUAUGAAACAUAUUGUGCCUAAGAAGCAUGGUCUUAGCCUUCACAGAGUGCAUAUUAUUUUCUUCAAGAGGAGUUAAAGGCAAGUCAUGUUGAGACCUUUAACAGAGCAGUGUUUCUUCUUUCAGAGGACUCAUCCUCCAAAGGGGAGAAGUAAGCAAAAUGUCCAUGCUAUGAAACCUGUUCAGGCUAUUAAGUUGCCUUUUCAAAGACGAGUGCUUUUGUGAUACACUCAAAUGAAUGCCACACUAGCUGCAAGUGUUGCCCAUUCAGUGGAGAAAGAGUUAUUUGAACUAUUUGAAGUUAUUUCACAUAAAUAAAUAAAUACUCAAGCUUCAAGAGAAGUAGAAUUUAGGAAAUUAAAGAGCAUUACAAAUAAGAUAUUUUUUUAGUUCACUGAGCUUCCUGAAAGAAUCAAGUGUUCGUUCUAAAAGUGUGCCAUUUAUUCCUAGGCAAGAUAUUUAUUUAUUCCUAAAAAGCAUAUAGUAUAUCUUUGAUUUAUCAUGAAUGAUAUAUGAGCUUGGACGGGGGUAGAGCUGAGACAGAAACAAGGGACUAUGCAGGUCUUGAGAUGUGUGAGAGCUAUCAAAAAUAGGACAUUAUAGAAAAAUCCAGGUUAUUAGGAAAAAAUGAGAGUUGGCUGCUAAUACCAAGUAUUAAAAGAGUUUAGAUUUCAGAGUUCCCACUGUGGCACAGUGGGUUAAGAAUUCAACUGCAGCAGCUCGGGUUGCUACAGAGGCACAGGAUCCACCCCCAGCCUGGUGCAGUGGGUUAAAGGAUCAAGGUUUGCCACAGCUGUGGUGUAGGUCUCAGGUGUGGCUUGGAUCCAAUCCCUGGCCGGGGAACUUCCAUAGGCUAUGGGUGAGGCCGUUGAAAAGCAGGGUGGUGCUUAGGUUUCAGAACAGGUCUCUAGACUAAUGGAGAGAGUACAGCACUGACCAGAUUUAAACAAUGGCUGUAUUCCAGCAGGCAGCUAUAUAGUUCAAUAUGUGUUCCAAAAACAGUGCUAGAUAUUGUGUGCAAAGAAAAAUAAAUAUGUAUGACCUUUGAUUUAGAAGGGUCUGCCAUAAAAGCUUAGAAAAACCAUCAAGUUACGGGACCUAAGAGGCAAGGUGGUAGAAUGAUAACGGACAACAAAAGAUGGGAAUCAGACAAAUCAGUCCAUUUGUCUCUAUCAAACUGGAAGAGAGUUUUAUGUCUUUUACCUCACAUUAAUUUGCUUUUCACAUUAAUUAAUGUUGCUCACAUUGCUUUGAUAUAAUUGCGUCCACUAUCCAGAGUCAAAAGCAGAUUCACAAGUCAAUGAAGAGUCAACGGAUACAAAAAAGAAAAUAAAAUAUAUAAAUACAAAGACUGAAGGAUGCACCAACAUCUUAAAACUUUGAGAGCAUCUUAGAGACCAUGGGUGGAUGGUUUAUGAUUAUAUUUCUCUAAGAAUGAUAAACUUAUUUAUAUGCAUGGAUACUUUAUGUGAAUCCUAUGAGUGAUGUUCCAAGAAAUAAAUUUUAGAAAAAAAUUAGUCCUUAAAAAUGAUAAACUAUACUUCCCACAGUAAUAUUUGUUUUGUUUAAUUUUUGAACAAGUUUAAAUUACUGAUGAAAUUAAUUUCCUACUAGUUAUCAGGAAAAUGAAAAAUAAUUUAGUACCAACAGCAUGCACAAUAAAAUAAUUGCGUCUCAAUGAACUUUCUAAGCUAAAGAGAAAUUACGUUUUAAUACUGUCUACUCUUAUUUGGUUUAAAUACCUGUAAAGAAACAGAAAAUAAUGGUUAAAUCUAUCUAUUAAGCAUUUUCAUUUCCUAGUAAGGUAAAUAUUACAUAUAAUAGGAUUAUGAAAUACUUAAAGAUAUAGAAUUUCCUUUUUCUGAGAAACAGUGUGAAAUUGUCAGUAUAGUGAAGCCACCUCUGGUUUAAAUUAAUGAUUGUUUUAUUGGCCAUGCAUUCUUCAGGCUGACACUAUAAUUACCUCAUUAACAGUAUAAAUCUUGCUUUAUUUUUGAUCUCAUAAAAAGAUAAUACAUUGAUAAUUCUAUCAUAUGAUGUUUUAAAAUGCAUGUCUUUAGUAUUAUUCUCUUAGAAAUAAAGGUAAUAUUUCAUGGACAAUAAAAGAAAAUUGUUUUAUGUGGAGUCAUGUUAUCUUUAAUAAUUUUUUUUUUUUUUUUUGGCUUUUCCAGGGCUGCACCCGUGGCAUAUGGAGGUUCCCAGACAAGGGGUCUAAUCAGAGCUGAAGCCUCCGCCUACGCCAGAGCCACAGCAACGUAGGAUCUGAGCUGAAUCUGCUACCUACUCCACAGCUCACAGCACCACACCACAGCACUGACCUUCACCAUGGCACUGACCUUCACCACAGCACUGACCUACACCACAGCUCACAGCUCAGGUCGCAGACCCACUGAGUGAGGCCAGGGAUCGAACCUGCAACCUCAUGGUUCCUAGUCGGAUUCACUGACCACUGAGCCACGACGGGAACUCCAAUCUUUAAUAAAUUUAAUGAGGUAUACUUUAUAUGUGGUAAAAUACAGUUUAGGUAAACAUUUUGAUGAAGUUGAACAAAUUCAUACACUUGACUAACCAUUACAUUCUAUUUACAAAACUUUCAUUGAAAAAUUUUUUGGUAUCAUCUCACAGACAACACCUACCUUCUCUCCUAUCCUAGGACCAGGCAGCCAUCUAUUUACUCUUAUUUUGUGUUAGACUUAUCUUUGCUAAAAUGUCAUAUACACUGGAAUCAUUCAGUUUGUAUUCUUUUAUAUCUUAUUGUGAGCAGCAUAUUUUCUUAAUUUUUUUUGUUGUAUGUAUCAAUAAUUUAAGUGCUGAAGAUCCCAUUGAAUGGAUAAACUGCAAUGAAUUGCAAAUUCACCUCUUCAUGGACAUUUGUUUGAAGUGAGAUUAUACUGAAUACACUUGAUAUAAAUAUCGCUAUGCAAGACUGUGAGCAAAUAUGACAAUUUCACUGCAGUAAAAUUCUAAGAUGGGCCAUAGUGGAAGUACGUGUUUUUAGGAACUCCCAAGCAGUUGGCCAAAUUGACUGUGUAUUUCACAUUCCUUCUAGGAAUGUUUGAGACCACUCACACCUCCCCCCUUCAAUACUUACUCUGGAGUUUUCUCAUUUUAGUUAUUAUAAAGGGUAGAUAGAAGUACCUCACUUUUGUGUUAAUUUUCAUUUCACUUAUGGGUAAUGCGGUUGGAGUAUGUUCAUGUGGUUACUGAUCAUAUAUAUAGCUUCCUUUGUGAGGUGACCAUUUAAAUCUUUGAACAUAUUUUUUACCUUUUUUGUCUUGUUAUUGAUUUAUGAAAGCAAUUUAUUUUAGAUUCAAGGCUGGUAAAUAUACAGGACUUUUAUUCUGUGACUUGACUAUUCAUUUGCUUAGAAUUUUUUUUGAAGAGCAAAAAUUUAUUUUGAUAGAGCUUGAAGUCUACUCUGUCAAUUUUUGCUCUUUUAUUGAACAUGUAGUUUGUGAUCUAAGAAGUCUUUAAUUAUUCUAAGGGUAAAAAAAGAGUCUGACUCAUUAUUCUAUGUGUACUGACAGUUUUUAAGUCUUACUUCUCUGUCCUCCCAUUGUGCUUCAUAUCUGAGCUAGUUGAUAAGAAGCCCGGAUGCAUUCUCCUUUAGCAUCCCUAAGAAGUUCAAACACUGUAAGUGAACCCUAACCCUGGCCCAACUCUAUCUAUCAUAAAAACACCAAGACAAUCUCCUUUCCUGGCUUUCUCAAGCUAUUUUGGGACUGGAUUAGUAAACCUAUCCUGUUCUCUCCAAAAAUCUUGUCAUAUGACUCAUAAGCUGUAUGUACACUUUAAAUAUGUUUAUGUGGUGUUAUUAGCCUUGACCUUUGAAUCAUAUUUGUAGCAGGGUCCAUUCUGAUUGGAGUGGCUUAUAACCUCAAGUCUGGUAACAUUUCUUUCUGUAUUUCCAUCUCAAAAUUUGAGUAGUUUUAACUUUAGGUUUCAAUUUCUUGUCCAUUUUGAAUUAGAUAUACAUAUGUAAUGGAUUAAGGUAUAGAUCCAUUUUUAUUAAGAUAUAGUUCACAUAUGAUAAAAUUCAUUUUUUAAAACAUGCAAUUUGAUGGUCUUUAGCAUAUUCACACAAUAUUGGGUAGCUAUUCCCCACUCUCUAAUUCCAGAACAUUUUCAUCACUAUCAGAAAAAAAAAGAAAAAAAAA
rnacentral:lncRNA from 1 species